UAAUGCCACCAUAACCAUACUGGAUAGACCUGAUCUUAUCUGCUUUUGGAAGCUAAACAGGGUCAGCCCUGGUUAGUAUUUGGCUCAGAGACUGUCAAGAAAUAACAGGCAGCAGCUCCCU
rnacentral:rRNA from 1 species